rnacentral:piRNA from 1 species
UCCAGACGGCCAGUCUGUGCCACAGAGUGA